GGUUGUGGCUCAGUGGUACAGCGUUUGACUGACAUGUAUGGGGCCCUGGGUUCGAUUCUCAGCACCA
rnacentral:tRNA from 1 species